CCUACGGGAGGCAGCAGUGGGGGAUAUUGCACAAUGGGGGCGACCCUGAUCCAGCGACGCCGCGUGGGGGAAGAAGCGCCUCGGCGCGUAAAGCCCUUUUAGCAGGGAAGAAAAUGACGGUACCUGAAGAAGAAGCCCCGGCUAACUACGUGCCAGCAGCCGCGGUAAUACGGAGGGGGCGAGCGUUAAUCGGAAUUACUGGGCGUAAAGCGCUCGUAGGUGGUAUGUCAAGUCAAGUGUGAAAUCCCCGCGCUCAACGUGGGAACUGCCGUUGAAACUGGCAAACUUGAGUGUGUGAGAGGUUAGUGGAAUUCGAGGUGUAGGAGUGAAAUGCGUAGAUAUCAGGAGGAACAUCAGUGGCGAAGGCGACUAUCUGGCACAUAACUGACGCUGAGGAGCGAAAGCGUGGGUAGCAAACAGGAUUAGAUACCCUUGUAGUC
rnacentral:rRNA from 1 species